UACGGGAGGCAGCAGUGAGGAAUAUUGGACAAUGGCCGGAAGGCUGAUCCAGCCAUGCCGCGUGAAGGAAUAAGGUCCUAUGGAUUGUAAACUUCUUUUGAGUGGGAGCAAUAAGGGUGUCGAGACACCCGAUGAGAGUACCAUUCGAAUAAGCAUCGGCUAACUCCGUGCCAGCAGCCGCGGUAAU
rnacentral:rRNA from 1 species